GGAAACCUCGGUCAAAGUUUGCGCAGGCGCUUCUGCUUUCUCUUUCCUUGCUACCGGCUUCAGAGGUGCAGUGAUGGAGAAGAACACGAGAGGAGGGCGAGUAUGGAGCCACUCUGGCCUGUGCUUUACGAGCCUCUGGUCCCAAUUGGAGCAAGUUGGUUGAUUUAAAGGGGCUGCAUGUGAUUUUUCAAGCAAACCAGUCAAGAAGACGCAAAGUUUCUUUGUGUUGAGAUGUAAACACCUGAGACCACGUCCCUUGAAAAGAAAUGAAGCCUGUGUUAGCCACCGUGUGGUUAUCUGAUUCAUAUGCACAAUGGAUGCAGACCAUUUGCCUCUGGACUCAGAAGUCAGUUUGGAAACAGCUGCUCAGGUUACAGCUAAGAGGCGAAAAAAUGGUGGGGAGAACAUAGACCAGUUUUUCCAUCAUGCAGUGAUGUCUUUUCCUGCAAGCUUCCUUGGAAUCAUAUAAGCCCUUCAGCCAUGAUAUUAUAGGACCGAAGUAGAGGGAUCUCUUGUUUUGCCUUGGAACUUUGCCUGCAAGUUGCCUCUCCAUUAACUGCAAAUGCCCUGCAUCAAAGGACUAGCAUGUCAUACACAUGUUGGCACAGAGAGGGUAACAAAACAUCUGUCAAAGAGUGAAUGUCUGUGGGCAACAUGAAUGCCGAAGCAUUUCUAUAUGAAAGGUGCAGCUGUAAGAGAAGAAUGCAUUUCAAGAACGGAGGAGUUGUUUUUUUUUAUGGGUGCUGGCUUUUAAGCAGAAGGGCCUGGAAGUGCCGAGCCACCCAAAAGGAGUUUCCCUGCGUUGAACAAGAAAGCAAACUUGAUCAGCAGUGGUGGAAAAGUGCAGUCUGCCUUGGUAGUGAACCUUAAAGGAGGAAGCCAUGGAUUCUAAAGUAGUGUAUCCAGCGUAGCUGAGCAGUUAGAAGCUUGGACUAGUCCAUGAAGCUCACCAGGUGACCUUGGGCCAGUCACUGCCUCUCAAGUUAACCUACCUCACAGGGAUGUUGUGAGGAUAAAAUGGGGGAGGGAUAACCAUGCACUUUUUCCACAUCCUUGGAAAAAAGAGAAGUAAAAUAAGAACAAUAAUAAAAACUUUUCCCCAACAAAAAAA